CUGGAGGUGGAUUCAGAGAUCAGCUGGUGCAGCCUCAUUUUGACAUCUCUAUGUGUACAAUUGCUGCCACUAACAGAUUAUUAGACUAUGCAGAUGAAGAAAAGAAUGUUUUGUUGGAGGAAGCCUGGGCCCUGAUCCACCGCGGGAAGGAGAACCAUGCCUGCUCCAGACCCAGCUGCCAUCGCUCAAGCACCGGGAGGAAGCCUGGGCCCCGAUCCACCACGGGAAGGAGAACCACACCUGCUCCCGACCCAGACGCCAUCACUCAAGUGCUGCGAAGCUAAACUCUUCUCUGGAGUCUGCACCCAGCAGAACCAAGGUUUGGG
rnacentral:lncRNA from 1 species